GCGAGUAGGAAAGGCUUACGGCGCUCUGGGAGGGGCUUGCGGCCCAUCAGCUAGUUGGUAGAGUAAAGGCCUACCAAGGCAAAGACGGGUAGGGGGUGUGAGAGCAUGGCCCCCCAAAAUGGGACUGAAACACGGCCCAUACUCCUACGGGAGGCAUCCGCAGGGAAUAUUGCACAAUAGGCGAAAGCCUGAUGCAGCGACGCCGCGUGAGUGAAGAAGGCCUUCGGGACGAAAAGCUCUUUUGUAGGACAAGAGUACGGACGGUACCCUGAGAAAAAGCGUCGGCUAACUACGUGCCAGCAGCCGCGGUAAGACGUAGGACGCGAGCGUUAUCCGGAAUUACUGGGCGUAAAGGGCCGGUAGGUGGCUUGGUAAGUUGUGCGUGAAAGCCUCGUGCUCAACGCGAGGAGGCCGGACAAUACUGUCAAGCUAGAGGGCAUCAGAGGGGAGUGGAAUUCCCGGAGUAGCGGUAAAAUGCGCAGAUAUCGGUAGGAACACCAAUGGCGAAGGCAGCUCCCUGGGAUGUACCUGACACUGAGGGGCGAAAGCUAGGGGAGCGAACAGGAUUAGAGACCCUGGUAGUCCUAGCUGUAAACGCUGGGUGCUAGGUGUGGGGCGUAGAAGUUCCGUGCCGGAGCAAACGCGAUAAGCAUCCCGCCUGGGAAUUACGGUCGCAAGGCUAAAACUCAAACGAAUUGACGGGGCCCCGCACAAGCAGCGGAGCGUGUGGUUCAAUUCGAUGCUACACGAAGAACCUUACCUGGGUUUGACAUGUACGUGGUACGGCGGCGAAAUCCAAAGGACCCUUCGGGGAGCGUACACAGGUGCUGCAUGGCUGUCGUCAGCUCGUGCCGUGAGGUGUCGGGUUAAGUCCCGUAACGAGCGCAACCCUUGCCCUUAGCUACAAGUGUCUAGAGGGACUCCCGCCGCGAACCCUCAGGAAGGUGGGGA
rnacentral:rRNA from 1 species